AGAAUCAACGCUGGCGGCGUGCCUAACACAUGCAAGUCGCACGAGAAAGGGACUUCGGUCUUGAGUAAAGUGGCGCACGGGUGAGUAACACGUGAAUUAUCUACCUUCGAGUGGGGAAUAACUGGGAGAAAUCUCAGCUAAUACCGCAUAAUACCUACGGGUCAAAGCAGCAAUGCGCUUGAAGAGGAGUUCGCGGCAGAUUAGUUAGUUGGCGGGGUAAUGGCCCACCAAGACGAUGAUCUGUA
rnacentral:rRNA from 1 species